GAUGAACGCUGGCGGCGUGCUUAACACAUGCAAGUCGAACGAUGAAGCCCAGCUUGCUGGGUGGAUUAGUGGCGAACGGGUGAGUAACACGUGAGUAACCUGCCCUUAACUCUGGGAUAAGCCUGGGAAACUGGGUCUAAUACCGGAUAGGAGCGCCUACCGCAGGGUGGGGGUUGGAAAGAUUUAUCGGUUUUGGAUGGACUCGCGGCCUAUCAGCUUGUUGGUGAGGUAAUGGCUCACCAAGGCGACGACGGGUAGCCGGCCUGAGAGGGUGACCGGCCACACUGGGACUGAGACACGGCCCAGACUCCUACGGGAGGCAGCAGUGGGGAAUAUUGCACAAUGGGCGAAAGCCUGAUGCAGCGACGCCGCGUGAGGGAUGACGGCCUUCGGGUUGUAAACCUCUUUCAGUAGGGAAGAAGCGAAAGUGACGGUACCUGCAGAAGAAGCACCGGCUAACUACGUG
rnacentral:rRNA from 1 species